CGGUUCGCGGCAGGCGGUGCAGCGGCGCAGCGCCUUGCAUGCGGUGGAGGAGAAGCGGCUGAGCAGUUCGGUGUCGGUCGAUCCGC
rnacentral:tRNA from 1 species